GGCAAAUCUUUAAUUGGGUAGAAAGAUUAUCAAUUACAGAAUCAAGCGAUCGAUGCAUUUGUGUCCUGAGGUGAGGGGAGGCGUGUUGUUAAAACACGCAUGUUGUGCCCAGCUGAAAGAGAUCAACCUCUUGCCCUUCACAAUAUUAUGAAGUACAUUAUUGGGGUUUUUUUGUACGACGGAUAAUACAAUAGUCAAAUAAUUGUACUGUUUACCUAUAUAUAUAUAUAUAUAUAUAUGUAUACGUUUAUAAUUUAAACGUUCAAUGCUGAAUUUAACAUGAUUCCUAUUUGAAAAGUUAUUUUAAAAAUUAUUGUUCUAGAAUUACUGGCAAAAUUUAAGUAGAUUAAAUUUAGAAUGUUUGGUUAAGCCAGUUUUCGGUGUUAACUAUGUUACAAAGUCAGAAAUUUGCCCACACAGUUCACCUACUUGAUACUGCACAACAUUAAGGCCUACUGUCAAAGACGAAAAAGAGCGCACAGAUAAUACAGCAUAAGGCCAUAAAAGAUAAACCAUCCAUUCUGAGCUAUUGUGUUGAACAGAGAAUUUUUUUUGAGCGUCUGGUGCCUGUAUUUGAGUCACAGGGAACGACCAGUGUGGCGUAGGCUGAAUUAUUUAAUAAAUGUUGCCUAUUGCUAUUAGUCUUUAUUAUAAGGUACGGUGGCUCUUCUGACACUUUAUAUUGAUUUGUCCAAUUUCGUGGUUGACGUGGCACUGUGGUAUAACGUGCUAUUUGUAUAUAUUUAAAUGACCAUGUGACAAGGUGCAUGAAGAUUGUCUAGGAAGCAUCUGUCAUCGAUCAGGACAGAUUGGCGGAAGGAAAAAUGUUGUAUCAAACAGUAUCGGUCUCACACGUUUAGCGAUCCUCGCCGCAGAGGUGCAGUCCGGUCUUUCGUCUAAAUUUACAGGCAUGAAAUUGGUAUGAAGCCGCAAAGGAGGCUGAUUUGCGGGGUAGAUGGCGUCUAGCUCUGAAUACUCACACCAACAUUUGACCGUGAGCAGACGCUCGGCGGAAACUGUGGAAAAGGGGUCUACCCUUAUUUGUAUACAGAUCUAGGAAGCUUGUAUUACAUGUUACAAGAUUCGACAUUAAAGUCUUCCGGAAACAAAAGGCGAUGCAGUUCAAAAGUCAAAUGGAGGUCGGCUUACACAGCUCCUCUGUAGUCGCCGAUCAAACCUGUUGAAAAACGCGACGCCCGACCUCCAGUGAAAUUCUGCAUUGCGUUGAUAUAAGAAGUUACACCACGCAUGCUAUGCGGGUGAGUCGAACAGUGGAACCAUUUAAAGCUUAAUUAUCUUUUUGCCCAGAAUUUCUAUAUCAUAAAAUCGAUGGUAUGUCCAAAUCCUGAACAGCAGUCUGCAUUUGUCGUAAUAUUCAGUCAUAAACAUUUUGUGGCGAGGUUAUCUUCUGUUAAAAAGAAAAUUAAAUGUCAAUUAAUAUUGUUUUAAAAGUUUCUUAGUGUGUGCGUGUUUGUGUGUGACAUUUGAAAAAUUUUACUUCUCACAUUAGGCAAUGAUUAUGUUGUUGAUAAUUUUAUGUAUAAAAUUAUAUUUUUGAUCUUGUUUCUUCCCACGUUUUUAACACGCCGUUCACAUAAUUUAUGCAAGGGCCAAUAAUUCAUGUUAUGGUUUUAGAAACAUAUAUUUAUUUAGUUAUUCAUCUAUGCAUUUAAAUCUUAAUAUGAGAAAAUGUUUAUGCGAACUUUUACUUGUGAAGCUAACGGUCUCCUUAGCCAUUUGCGCCGUCUACUGGUAACAUCAAGAAAAUGAAAUAUCUAGGAAAACUUAUUCGAAAGCGAGCAAAGCGGAAACUUUUUGACAACAAUCUUUAAAAACGCUUUUACAAAUUAUCGAAGGCGAAACAUGAACUGACUCAUUUAAGCAUUUCUUGUCAAUUUACGAAAACACGUUACCAUUAUCAAUGCAUGUCUUCUUCACCUUGUGACGUAAAAUGGGAUGAAAAUGCAGUGAACGUGCCUAAGACUAAGCGGUUUUUAAAAAAUAUAUGGCCUGAAAUAUUUAACUAUUUUUUCAAGGAUUAGAUAGUGUUGGUCAUAGAGAUUUAAUUAGGCAAAUUGUGUUGUAAAUAAAUAAUAAGUGAAUUACUUAUUUAGAUGUAAUGUGAUAUCUUCUUUUUCAUUUCAGUGUUUCAGGUUAAACCUAUAUUUAAAUAUUUAAAUAUAACAUGGUAAUAUUUAAAGAACGUAUUAAUAUUAGAUGCAUCGUCACUUGCGACAACACCAACACGCAAGCACUGUCCAGUAGUACAGACUGAUCUCACGGCAGACGCGCACUUGUCCCGGGAGAUUAAAUAACACGUGUAUUGAAACAUAUAGACAAGGGUUAGAAAGUUAAAGUUUAUUUAUGAAUAUCUAGACAUUAGUCUAACUAGAUUAACUAAAUUUCUAUAGAAAAAAGCAAUUUUAUAAAUCUAACAUUAUAUUACAAAUAUCGGUAAUUUAUAUUUGUUAUUGCAAUAUGUGUAAUUAUUAUUAUUAUUAUUAUUAUUGUUAUUAUUAUUAUUAUUAUUAUUAUUAUUAUUACCUCUAGUAUUACUACCACUACUAGCUACUACUACACUUUGCUGUGGAAGCACAACUGUAAAUUAGUUUCUAUCCGCUUGUUCUGUUAUUUUCAGAUUCGCAUUUUUAACGGUGACAUGGAUCAAAAGUAUAUCGGAUCGUUUUUUGUCACUUUAUUAAUUCAGCCCUAACCAGAAGUAAACUUGUUUUGCAGCGCUUAAACUUCGUCGAUGGAUCGAUAUUUUGCUCUCCUGAUGCAACGGACGGAAUUUGCUUCGUGUAUGUACAGUAUAUCCGCCUUCUUUAAGUAUAUGUGCUGCAAGAAACGUAAAAAUACUGAUUUAUGGAAAAAUGCGCUGGUUUCUUCAAGAAUGCAUCGCUUUCCUCAAGAAAAACGCUUGAUUAAAAUUAAACGGUGUGUUAUGGAUUAAGCUAUGAAGUUGUUCUGCAUAAAUGUAUGUGCAUAUAUGAAAUAUAUUAAAUAGGCCUAUUAAAAACUUUUUUUGGAAAAAAUACAUACUUA